CCGAGAGGACCCACAGAACCUCUGAAGGAAGCAGACUGCUCCUGCAGGACCCAGGAGACACCCCAAAUACUCACGUUUUAUUUGCCACUAUUUGAAGUCUGAACUUUAAACAGAUUCUUGGACUGGUGGUUCAUAUCCAUCAGCUCGUUCAACUUUAGCACCUGUCUCGUCCCCAGUGGCUUUUCCAGAACUACUGCCUUCACCAUGAAGCUCCAUGAGCUUUCCCAAUUCAAACUUGGGCUUCUUCAGCAUUUUUACUUUUCUAACGAAGACAUCAUGGAGAGGAUAAAUAGAUUGGCAAGCCUUUUCUAUGUCUUUUCCAAUGCUGUCUGGAAUCAAUUUAUUGACCACUUCUUUCAAGUCAUUUGUCUGCACCUCUCGGAUCAUGAUUUCCAUCAUCUUCUUCCGGAUUUGGCGGACCUGUUGGUGCUGAGCAUAAGAGGUCUUCCGUAUCUGAUUUUUGCGUUUUUUAGUAAAACCAACACAGAACAGACGAAGCAAGUAACCAUCGGUAGUCUUGACAUCAACGUGAGCUUCAAUCAUUGUCUGCCAUUUUUUGACCAUGGAACACAUUUUGUCACGGGUAAGAUCCAUGCCAUGGAAGUUAGUCAGGCAGUUUUUACCCUGAACAUCUUCAGUAAUCAGCUUGAAUUUUCUAAAUGCAACUUCAUCAUUCUGCAAAUCAGCAAGACUCACUUCAAACACACGACCCUUGAGACCAUCAGACGCAAUUUUGGUUCCUUGGGUCCUGGUGACGAGCGUCUUUCCAAUAUUUCUUAUAUUGAACAUAGCAGGUGCUUUCACAUCAUACCAAUCUUUCUUAGAAAAUGGAUCAACCACUUUCUUCUUGGCUCCCUUUUUGCCGCCUUUCGUAAGGCGCUUGUUCUUGC
rnacentral:lncRNA from 1 species